UUUAAUUCAUGUGGUCAAAAUAUUGCCUGGCGACAAGAAAGUGCCCUCUCGUGGCCGGACGCUCUUGAGCAGUGGUACAGUGAGAAGGAUCAUUUCCGCUACUGCAAGCAACCGACCGGCACGGUUGGCCAUUACACACAGAUAAUGUGGGCCAAUACAACGGUUGUGGGAUGUGGAGUCCGAAAGGAUUGUGAUACACUGGGUCCGAACACCGUGGUCUAUGUGUGCAACUAUUGCAAUGCUGGGAAUAUUGUUACCGGCAAACCUAAUUCGCAAUAUUGUCCGUGGUGAUGAGAUGGACUGCACAUCGUGUCAUAACAAUUUUAGCACUUUUACAUGUCCACAAUCGUUUGGUACGUUUUGUGUGCGCACUACGCAGUUUAUGUGUCGUUAUUUACGUUUCUUUUUAGUGUUCACAUGGCAUAAGUGUUCAAAAUAUGCAUUAUUAUUAUUAUUAUUAUUACAUCAGGAGCAGACAACCCGCUAAACGGGACUUCAACGUCUGGU